rnacentral:rRNA from 1 species
UCAGGAUGAACGCUAGCGACAGGCUUAACACAUGCAAGUCGAGGGCAUCACGGGAGUAGCAAUACAACUGGUGGCGACCGGCGCACGGGUGAGUAACGCGUAUGCAACCUACCUAUCAGAGGGGAAUAACCCGGCAAAAGUCGGACUAAUACCGCAUAAAACAGGGGCACCGCAUGGUGAUAUUUGUUAAAGAAAUUCGCUGAUAGAUGGGCAUGCGUUCCAUUAGGUAGUUGGUGAGGUAACGGCUCACCAAGCCGACGAUGGAUAGGGAACUGAGAGGUUGGUCCCCCACACUGGUACUGAGACACGGACCAGACUCCUACGGGAGGCAGCAGUGAGGAAUAUUGGUCAAUGGGCGGGAGCCUGAACCAGCCAAGUCGCGUGAAGGAAGAAGGAUCUAUGGUUCGUAAACUUCUUUUGCAGGGGAAUAAAGUGCAGGACGUGUCCUGUUUUGUAUGUACCCUGAGAAUAAGGAUCGGCUAACUCCGUGCCAGCCGCGGC